GCGCUUGUAGAUCAGCGGAUUAGAGCACUGGCUUGCGGAGCCAGGGGUCGUGGGUUCGAAUCCCGCCAAGCGCACCA
rnacentral:tRNA from 1 species